UGGGUAUAGCUCAGUGGUAGAGUGCACGCUUAGCAUGCAUGAGGUCCUGGGUUUAAUUCCCAGUACCUCAA
rnacentral:tRNA from 1 species